rnacentral:rRNA from 1 species
UUGAUCCUGGCUCAGAUUGAACGCUGGCGGCAUGCCUUACACAUGCAAGUCGAACGGCAGCACGGGGGCAACCCUGGUGGCGAGUGGCGAACGGGUGAGUAAUACAUCGGAACGUGUCCUGUAGUGGGGGAUAGCCCGGCGAAAGCCGGAUUAAUACCGCAUACGCUCUACGGAGGAAAGGGGGGGAUCUUAGGACCUCCCGCUACAGGGGCGGCCGAUGGCAGAUUAGCUAGUUGGUGGGGUGAAGGCCUACCAAGGCGACGAUCUGUAGCUGGUCUGAGAGGACGACCAGCCACACUGGGACUGAGACACGGCCCAGACUCCUACGGGAGGCAGCAGUGGGGAAUUUUGGACAAUGGGGGCAACCCUGAUCCAGCAAUGCCGCGUGUGUGAAGAAGGCCUUCGGGUUGUAAAGCACUUUUGUCCGGAAAGAAAACGCCGUGGUUAAUACCCGUGGCGGAUGACGGUACCGGAAGAAUAAGCACCGGCUAACUACGUGCCAGCAGCCGCGGUAAUACGUAGGGUGCAAGCGUUAAUCGGAAUUACUGGGCGUAAAGCGUGCGCAGGCGGUUCGCUAAGACAGAUGUGAAAUCCCCGGGCUUAACCUGGGAACUGCAUUUGUGACUGGCGGGCUAGAGUAUGGCAGAGGGGGGUAGAAUUCCACGUGUAGCAGUGAAAUGCGUAGAGAUGUGGAGGAAUACCGAUGGCGAAGGCAGCCCCCUGGGCCAAUACUGACGCUCAUGCACGAAAG